rnacentral:lncRNA from 7 species
GGGGCUGACCGUUUGAGCGAAGUAAUAGAAGUGGGUGCUGAUACUUGACGUUUCGUGCAUGGCUGUUGAAAAUGAUCAAUAUAUACUUUGCACAAAGUGCACAUGCUACAUACUAAGGUGUGCAGCAUGGUGUACAUUACAGAAAACUUUGGAUCCUGUUCCAGCAGACCUUAUUAGCACUCCACAGAGAUUUAUUUUGUCACCCAAAGCAUGUCAGAAGCUCAAUCUCCUCUCUCAGAUGGAGAGAAUGGGAAGUCAGGAAGGUUUUUGCCUUCUGAGUGGUUCCAAAGGCUUCUCCCAUUGACUUUAACUGGCUCUACACCCUGCCACAGGGUACAAAUGAGAGGGAUUUCUCUUUGCUACUCGUGUUGUGGAGCCACUGCCGGAGCUCUAGGACUGUAGUGAUGUAGAGAGCAGCAGUGGACUUGAGUCACAGCAUCCUACAUCUGCUUUGUGCACGUGCAAAUGGUGACUUACAGCAUGAAAUCGUGAAGGAUCGUUCUCUGCACUAGCACUUAGUGAUGUUCUGGGGCACAGCUGGCUGUCCCUUCAGCUGGACUGCUGCAGCAGCUUGCAGAGGCUGCCAGAAAGUCUCAGAAUGCAGUGAUGCCUCUCCAAACUUCUUAUGCUGGUUAUUACAGUGAUCCAGCUUAGCAUGUGGU